rnacentral:rRNA from 1 species
CCUACGGGAGGCAGCAGUGGGGAAUAUUGCACAAUGGGCGAAAGCCCGAUGCAGCAACGCCGCGUGAGUGAUGAAGGCCUUCGGGUUGUAAAGCUCUGUCUUCUGGGACGAUAAUGACGGUACCAGAGGAGGAAGCCACGGCUAACUACGUGCCAGCAGCCGCGGUAAU